rnacentral:rRNA from 1 species
GACAGAGGGGGCAAGCGUUGCUCGGAAUUACUGGGCGUAAAGCGCGUGUAGGCGGGACGGCAAGUCGGUCGUGAAAGGCUUCGGCUCAACCGGAGAUGGCCGAUCGAAACUGCCGUUCUUGAGGGUCGAAGAGGAGAGUGGAAUUCCGUGGAUGUAGCGGUGAAAUGCGUAGAGAUCAGGAGGAACACCGGUGGCGAAGGCGGCGAUCUGGCCCAACAUUGACACUGAGACCCGAAAGCGUGGGGAUCAAACAGG